rnacentral:rRNA from 1 species
AGCGAACGUUAGCGGCGGGCCUAACACAUGCAAGUCGAACGCGAAAGGUCUUCGGACUGAGUAGAGUGGCGCACGGGUGAGUAACACGUAGGUAAUCUACCCUUUGGCGGGGGAUAACGUUCCGAAAGGAGCGCUAAUACCGCAUAAGACCACGGAGUCUCCGGACGCUGUGGGAAAAGGUGGCCUCUUCUUGAAAGCUACCACCGAAGGAUGAGCCUGCGUCCCAUCAGCUAGUUGGUAAGGUAAUGGCUUACCAAGGCGAAGACGGGUAGCUGGUUUGAGAGAAUGAUCAGCCACACUGGCACUGGAACACGGGCCAGACUCCUACGGGAGGCAGCAGUGAGGAAUAUUGGGCAAUGGGCGAAAGCCUGACCCAGCCACGCCGCGUGAGCGAUGAAGGCCUUAGGGUUGUAAAGCUCUUUCAGGGGGGAAGAUAAUGACUGUACCCCCAGAAGAAGCCCCGGCUAACUCCGUGCCAGCAGCCGCGGUAAAGUCUGUACU